rnacentral:rRNA from 1 species
GACGAACGCUGGCGGCGUGCUUAACACAUGCAAGUCGAACGGAAAGGCCCUGCUUUUGUGGGGUGCUCGAGUGGCGAACGGGUGAGUAACACGUGAGUAACCUGCCCUUGACUUUGGGAUAACUUCAGGAAACUGGGGCUAAUACCGGAUAGGAGCUCCUGCUGCAUGGUGGGGGUUGGAAAGUUUCGGCGGUUGGGGAUGGACUCGCGGCUUAUCAGCUUGUUGGUGGGGUAGUGGCUUACCAAGGCUUUGACGGGUAGCCGGCCUGAGAGGGUGACCGGCCACAUUGGGACUGAGAUACGGCCCAGACUCCUACGGGAGGCAUCAGUGGGGAAUAUUGCACAAUGGGCGGAAGCCUGAUGCAGCAACGCCGCGUGCGGGAUGACGGCCUUCGGGUUGUAAACCGCUUUCGCCUGUGACGAAGCGUGAGUGACGGUAAUGGGUAAAGAAGCACCGGCUAACUACGUGC